UUGAACGCUGGCGGCAGGCCUAACACAUGCCAGUCGAACGGUAACAGGAAGAAGCUUGCUUCUUUGCUGACGAGUGGCGGACGGGGGAGUAAUGUCUGGGAAACUGCCUGAUGGAGGGGGAUAACUACUGGAAACGGUAGCUAAUACCGCAUAACGUCGCAAGACCAAAAAGGGGGACCUUCGGGCCGCUUGCCAUCGGAUGUGCCCAGGUGGUUUUGGCUGGUAGGUGGGGUAACGGCUCACCUAGGCGACGAUCCCUAGCUGGUCUGAGAGGAUGACCAGCCACACUGGAACUGAGCCACGGUCCAGGCUCCUACGGGAGGCAGCAGUGGGGAAUAUUGCACAAUGGGCGCAAGCCUGAUGCAGCCAUGCCGCGUGUAUGAAGAAGGCCUUCGGGUUGUAAAGUACUUUCAGCGGUGAGGAAGGGAGUAAAGUUAAUACCUUGGCUCAUUGACGUUACCCGCAGAAGAAGCACCGGCUAACUCCGUG
rnacentral:rRNA from 1 species